UACGGAGGGGGCUAGCGUUGUUCGGAAUUACUGGGCGUAAAGCGUGCGCAGGCGGUUUUGUAAGUCUGUCGUGAAAGCCCCGGGCUCAACCUGGGAAUUGCGAUGGAGACUGCAAGGCUUGAAUCUGGCAGAGGGGGGUAGAAUUCCACGUGUAGCAGUGAAAUGCGUAGAUAUCGAGAGGAACACCUGCGGCGAAGGCGGGUUGCUGGGCUGACACUGACGCUGAAGCGCGAAAGCUAGGGGAGCGAACGGG
rnacentral:rRNA from 1 species